GUUCUUUAAUUACAAGGAGUAUUAUUCUUUUGUAUUAAUGGCAGUUGUCGAUUCAGAGUACCGAUUUAUUUUUAUUAGUGUGGGCUCAUUUGGCAAGGAAUGCGAUUCUAGUAUAUUAAAGGAUAGUACAUUUUGGCAAAAGAUCAAUGAUGGUACUUUAAAUGUACCAAAGCCUAGACCGCUUCAUGAAAACUUGCACGAAGAAUUACCGUUUAUACUUGUUGGCGAUGAAGGCUUUGCUUUAACACCUAAUCUCCUACGUCCAUAUGGAGAUAUUGGUUCCGUUCCGUGGCAGGCAGCAGCUAUAAAAUAAAAUUUAUCAAUGCAUUUACAUUUUAUCAAUAAAACAUUAAAAACUCA